CACGUAGGGCGCAAGCGUUGUCCGGAAUUAUUGGGCGUAAAGAGCUCGUAGGCGGUCUGUUGCGUCCGCUGUGAAAACCCGGGGCUUAACCCUGGGCUGGCAGUGGAUACGGACAGACUAGAGGUAGGUAGGGGAGAAUGGAAUUCCCGGUGUAGCGGUGAAAUGCGUUGAUAUCGGAAGGAACGCCGGUGGCGAAAGCGACGUACUGGACCUCUUCUGACGCUGAGGCGCGAAAGCUAGGGGAGCAAACGGG
rnacentral:rRNA from 1 species